AAUAUUGGACAAUGGAUGAGAGCCUGAUCCAGCCAUCCCGCGUGCAGGAAGAAUGCCUUAUGGGUUGUAAACUGCUUUUAUACAGGAAUAAAGUGAGUCACGUGUGACUUUUUGCAUGUACUGUAUGAAUAAGGAUCGGCUAACUCCGUGCCAGCAGCCGCGGUAAUACGGAGGAUCCAAGCUUUAUCCGGAUUUAUUGGGUUUAAAGGGUGCGCAGGCGGAAGAUUAAGUCGGCGGUGAAAUUUUGCAGCUCAACUGUAAAAGUGCCAUCGAUACUGGUUUUCUUGAGUGUGGAUGAAGUAGGCGGAAUUUGUGGUGUAGCGGUGAAAUGCAUAGAUAUCACGAGGAACUCCGAUUGCGCAGGCAGCUUACUAGGCCAUAACUGACGCUCAGGCACGAAGGCGUGGGGAUCAAAC
rnacentral:rRNA from 1 species